rnacentral:rRNA from 1 species
UGAAUACGAGACGCUAAGGCGUCGAAGUAGUGUAUGUCAUACUUCCAAGAAAAGCUUGCACUGUCAUAGAUAAAAAACGCCUGUACCAUAACCGACACAGGUGGGUAGGUAGAGUAUACUAAGGGGCGCGAGAUAACUCUCUCUAAGGAACUCGGCAAAAUAACUCCGUAACUUCGGGAGAAGGAGUGCCUUAUUCGUAAGGUUGCAAUAACAAGAUCCAAGCAACUGUUUAUCAAAAACACAGGUCUCCGCUAAGUCGUAAGACGAUGUAUGGGGGCUGACGCCUGCCCAGUGCCAGAAGGUUAAAGAAGUUGGUUAGCAAUUGCGAAGCUGAUAACUGAAGCCCUGGUGAACGGCGGCCGUAACGAUAACGGUCCUAAGGUAGCGAAAUUCCUUGUCGGUAAGUUCCGACCCGCACGAAAGGCGUAAUGAUUUGGAUACUGUCUCGGAGAGGGGCUCGGUGAAAUAGACUUGUCUGUGAAGAUGCGGACUACCUGCACCAGGACAGAAAGACCCUAUGAAGCUUUACUGUAACUUGAAAUUGAAAUUGGACUUUAUUCGCGCAGUAUAGGUGGGAGGCGUUGAUUAUAAUCUUGUGGGAUUAUUGGAGCCAUCAGUGAGAUACCACUCUUGUAAUGUUAGAUUUCUAACUUUGAAUCAUUAUCUGGUCAAAGAACAGUUUCAGGCGGGCAGUUUGACUGGGGCGGUCGCCUCCUAAACGGUAACGGAGGCGUACAAAGGUUUCCUCUGAACGGUUAGAAAUCGUAUCUAGAGUGUAAAGGCAUAAGGAAGCUUGACUGUGAGACCUACAAGUCGAGCAGGGACGAAAGUCGGUCUUAGUGAUCUGACGGUACUGAGUGGAAAGGCCGUCACUCAACGGAUAAAAGUUACUCUAAGGAUAACAGGCUGAUCUCCCCCAAGAGUUCACAUCGACGGGGAGGUUUGGCACCUCGAUGUCGGCCCAUCGCAUCCUGGGGCGGUAGUACGUCCCAAGGGUUGGGCUGUUCGCCCAUGAAAGCGGUACGCGAGCUGGGUUCAGAACGUCGUGAGACAGUUCGGUCCAUAUCCGGUGUAGGCGUUAGAAUAUUGAGAGGAGCCUUCUUUAGUACGAGAGGACCGAGAAGGACAUACCUCUGGUGUACCAGUUAUCGUGCCAACGGUAAACGCUGGGUAGCUAUGUAUGGAGUGGAUAACCGCUGAAAGCAUCUAAGUGGGAAGCCCACCUCAAGAUAAGUAUUCUCU